rnacentral:lncRNA from 1 species
AUUGAUUUUACCAUCAUGUAAGGGACAUAACUCCCACUAAUGGUUUUUAAAAAGCCAUUUUUAGGCAAAACUCUUAAACAAAAGGUCCUUGACCCAUAGGGUCUUUUGCAAUGACCUUGUGGAGCAAUGACCUUGACGAAGGUCACAAGGUCAAAGGUCAAGGUCAUCAAAUUAUGUGGUUUUUGGCACUAUUUAAACAGUUUUAUGUGUGUUUGAAUCCAAACCAACCAACCAACCAACCAACCAAUCAAUCAUUCAAUCAAUUAAUCAAUCAAUCAAUCAAUCAAUCAAUCAAUCAAUGUUUCCGUUUAAUGUGUUUCAUAAGGGAUCCAAGGUGGGUUUUUUUUUGCUUGUUUUAAUUGAGCCUAUUAAACGUGUUUAACCAACCAACGUGUUUAACCAGCAUAUUUAACCGACGUGUUUAACCAACCAACCAAUCAAUCAAUCAAUCAUUCAAUACAUGUUUCCGUUUCAUGUGUUUAAUACGGAAUCCAAGGUCUCUUUUUUUCGCUUGUUGCAAGAGACCCUGUAUCAAGUGUUUAACUAAUAAACCAACCAACCAACCAACCAACUAAUCAAUAAAUUUAUCAAUCAAUAUAUAUAUGAUAUAUUUAUUUAUGACAGUAUAAUUAAAAGAAAAUGGAAGGAAAGACCUAUCAAUUAUUCAAGAAGAAUUGAACUUUAAUUAUUAUUAUUAUUCUUC